CUCACGUGUUUCAAACAGAGCUUCUACAUUUGCCGGUCGUUAUGUGUUGGUUUGUAUUUGCCAACCUGACCCAGCACGCACCAGAGAUUUCCAUGGGCCCAGGUGCAGACAUGGAGAGAUCAGCUAGUGCAUUCCACGUGCCAGCAGAACAAGCAGAGGAUGUAGCCAGGAACAGAAAGAAGAAAAAGUUACAGGAAGUUACAAAAUAACAUUUCAACACAAGAUGCUGAGGGAAUUCACAGCAAUGGCGAUUGGCGACACUGAGCAACCUGCCUGUUUAUCACAGGACCCGAAGAGCCAACACCUCUGGAGUGGAGACACUUAACCUGCAUCACAGCAAUGUAAUAGUCCGCACAGCUUGUAUUCUGUCUGGGGGCAGAUAGGCUGCCCCUCGCCGCAUGUACUACGCAGAGAAUGGACUUUAGCUGCAUCAGUCAUCUCACCAAAACCUUAAAUACCAUUUGAAAGAUUCAGAACCUGUUUGAAUGAGAUGUGAGAUCAAGGCAGAGGCAGCUAUGAUUCAGUGAAAGCAUCUGAGAAAUAAAGGGAGAAGACUCCCGCUGGAGGCAACAGACACAGAGAUGCUACUUCUCCACGCGCAGAGCAGGAGCUCCGAUCCAGCAGCAGCAGCUGCAUUUCAUUCACUUCCAUCUAGCUCAGAAAGAAUAAAGCAUCAAGCGAAGAUGAAAAGUUGCUCCCUGGGAAGUGAAAAGGAUCUAAAACCGAAAGAGCUGCUUUGAUCCUAGGCUGCGGCUAUUGCUCCAGCUCUGUCUCUGCACACAGGAGUCUGCUGGGAGUGGAAGUCUCGAGAACGUGAAGCACUGGCUCCCAAGGAAAUCUGGGCUGGUGCACUGGGCAUGCAUUGCAGAAGUGCUGCAUUUCAGAUACAGCGAGUGGAUGGUUCAGGGGACUGGGAAGGGGAGAGAGAUUAUUUCACUUCCAGGUUGCUGGCUCAAUUCUAGUCCACACUGGCGGUGAUGAAGCGUUAUCCACUGGCUGUUCCAUGGCCUACAGGAAAUGAGGUUGGGGAGUCUCAGUCUCAUUCCCAGCAGACAGGUGCUGCCAUCACCAAAAUUAACACUCAGCAAAGAGGUCUAGGACUGAAUGCACCAUGGAGACUGACCUCUCUUCCCCUUGGGAGGGUCUGCCCUCAAUGAUGGGGUUGUACAGUACUGC